rnacentral:rRNA from 1 species
AUUGAACGCUGGCGGCAGGCCUAACACAUGCAAGUCGAGCGAGCGGCGGACGGGUGAGUAAUGUCUGGGAAACUGCCUGAUGUAGGGGGAUAACUACUGGAAACGGUAGCUAAUACCGCAUACCAUCAUAUGUGCCCAGGUUGUAUUAGCUAGUAGGUGGGGUAACGGCUCACCUAGGCGACGAUCCCUAGCUGGUCUGAGAGGAUGACCAGCCACACUGGAACUGAGACACGGUCCAGACUCCUACGGGAGGCAGCAGUGGGGAAGAUUGCAAAAUGGGCGCAAGCCUGAUGCAGCCAUGCCGAGUGUGUGAAGAAGGCCUUCGGGUUGUAAAGCACUUUCAGCGGGGAGGCGUUACCCGCAGAAGAAGCACCGGCUAACUCAGUGCCAGCAGCCGCGGUAAUAC